CUGUAGCUCAGUUGGAUAGAGCAACGGCCUUCUAAGCCGUGGGUCGGGGGUUCGAAUCCCUCCAG
rnacentral:tRNA from 2 species